GCAACGGUCGUGCGGGGAACGGCGGUCAGAGGGAGGGGGCGAGCGGUGUUCGGGAGUACUGGGCGUAAAGGGGGCGCAGGCGGCCUAUCAAGUCAGGGGGGAAAGCCCAGAGCUGAACGCUGGAAUUGCCUUUGAAACGGGUGGGCUUGAGUACGGGAGAGGUGAGUGGAAUUCGCAGUGUAGAGGUGAAAUUCGUAGAUAUUGGGAAGAACACCGGUGGCGAAGGCGGCUCACUGGCCCGUUACUGACGCUCAGGCGCGACAGCGUGGGGAUCAAACAGGAUUAGAUACCCCUGUAGUC
rnacentral:rRNA from 1 species